ACGUAGGGGGCGAGCGUUGUCCGGAAUCACUGGGCGUAAAGGGCGCGUAGGCGGCCUAGUAAGUCAGAUGUGAAAAGUGAGGGCUCAACCCUUAGAGUGCAUCUGAUACUGCUAGGCUUGAGUACAGAAGAGGAAAGCGGAAUUCCUAGUGUAGCGGUGAAAUGCGUAGAUAUUAGGAGGAACACCAGUGGCGAAGGCGGCUUUCUGGGCUGAAACUGACGCUGAGGCGCGAAAGCGUGGGGAGCAAACAG
rnacentral:rRNA from 1 species